UAUAAUUUUUAACUCUUCGUCUUAUUCAAAUGUUUUUUAUGAUUGAUAUUUUUAUUUUUAUUAGAUGAUAAAUCAUGCAUAGUACUUUAUGUGUGACUAAUUUUUUCUAAUUUUUUAAAAAAAUUUUAAAUAAAACGAAUAGUCAAACGUUAGAUACGGAAACUGAAG
rnacentral:pre_miRNA from 1 species